rnacentral:tRNA from 1 species
CUAAGGAUGAUCCUUCAGCCUAGCUUCGGCUAGCUAUCGGAUCGUUUUAGAAACAUCAGUGGCCAACGGUCGUCAGGAUCGUUGAGCUGCAUUGGCGGGAUUUCGCCGUCUUCGUUUCUCUUUCUUCGCGGACGAACACGCGCUGGGGCUGCAACCUUGCAGGAUCCCUGGUCCUUGACUGGAUAUGCGUUAGGGGCUUGUAGCUCAGUUGGUUAGAGCGCGCGCUUGAUAAGCGUGAGGUCGGAAGUUCAAGUCUUCCCAGGCCCACCACUUUCAUCGAGUGAGCAUUCGUCUUCUGGUUACGGGGCCAUAGCUCAGCUGGGAGAGCGCGUGCUUUGCAAGCAUGAGGUCGUCGGUUCGAUCCCGUCUGGCUCCACCAGAUGGUUUGAUCACCGACAACUCAACCGUCGUCCGCGAAACAUCACUUCGCACUCACUAGUCCGGAUGGACAGUGACGUGCGUGAUUUCUGACAUCGUAAAGAGGAGAUCGAUCCGAGUUGGAUCGUGCAGAAGAUUUCUGCGCGAUACUUCAUUAUCUCCGGAUCAUUUCGGCGCUCGUGCGUCUUCCAGGGUAGCUCACAAGGCUGCAUUUGAAAGACAAGCGAGUUGUAAAUGAUCCUUUUAGCGAAGCUUGACCGCCUCGCUAUCGGAACGAUCUUACGAAGCAAGCUGGUCUUUCUAAUCAUUGUCCGGCUGCAGAUAGCGUUCAUCGAGGGCGCGUGCCUUAGAGAUUUCGAUCUCUUGGCAAUUCUGCAGACAACAUUCUGCCGAGUGUGUGGACAUUGAUAAUGAGAGC